rnacentral:rRNA from 1 species
CGCCGGUGGCGGCAGCUACACAUGCAGUCGAACGGUAGCACAGAGAGCUUGCUCUCGGGUGACGAGUGGCGGACGGGUGAGUAAUGUCUGGGAAACUGCCUGAUGGAGGGGGAUAACUACUGGAAACGGUAGCUAAUACCGCAUAAUGUCGCAAGACCAAAGAGGGGGACCUUCGGGCCUCUUGCCAUCAGAUGUGCCCAGAUGGGAUUAGCUAGUAGGUGGGGUAACGGCUCACCUAGGCGACGAUCCCUAGCUGGUCUGAGAGGAUGACCAGCCACACUGGAACUGAGACACGGUCCAGACUCCUACGGGAGGCAGCAGUGGGGAAUAUUGCACAAUGGGCGCAAGCCUGAUGCAGCCAUGCCGCGUGUAUGAAGAAGGCCUUCGGGUUGUAAAGUACUUUCAGCGGGGAGGAAGGUGUUGUGGUUAAUAACCACAGCAAUUGACGUUACCCGCAGAAGAAGCACCGGCUAACUCCGUGCCAGCAGCCGCGGUAAUACGGAGGGUGCAAGCGUUAAUCGGAAUUACUGGGCGUAAAGCGCACGCAGGCGGUCUGUCAAGUCGGAUGUGAAAUCCCCGGGCUCAACCUGGGAACUGCAUUCGAAACUGGCAGGCUGGAGUCUUGUAGAGGGGGGUAGAAUUCCAGGUGUAGCGGUGAAAUGCGUAGAGAUCUGGAGGAAUACCGGUGGCGAAGGCGGCCCCCUGGACAAAGACUGACGCUCAGGUGCGAAAGCGUGGGGGAGCAAACAGGAUUAGAUACCCUGGUAGUCCACGCCGUAAACGAUGUCGAUUUGGAGGUUGUGCCCUUGAGGCGUGGCUUCCGGAGCUAACGCGUUAAAUCGACCGCCUGGGGAGUACGGCCGCAAGGUUAAAACUCAAAUGAAUUGACGGGGGCCCGCACAAGCGGUGGAGCAUGUGGUUUAAUUUCGAUGCAACGCGAAGAACCUUACCUGCUCUUGACAUCCACAGGACUUUCCCAGAGAUGGAUUGGUGCCUUCGG